UACGUAGGGUGCAAGCGUUAAUCGGAAUUACUGGGCGUAAAGCGUGCGCAGGCGGUUUUGUAAGUCAGAUGUGAAAUCCCCGAGCUCAACUUGGGAACUGCGUUUGAAACUACAAGACUAGAAUAGGUCAGAGGGGGGUAGAAUUCCACGUGUAGCAGUGAAAUGCGUAGAGAUGUGGAGGAAUACCAAUGGCGAAGGCAGCCCCCUGGGAUCAUAUUGACGCUCAUGCACGAAAGCGUGGGGAGCAAACAGG
rnacentral:rRNA from 1 species